CAGCCGCCACGGUAAAACAGAGGGUGCGAGCGUUAAUCGGAUUUACUGGGCGUAAAGCGUGCGUAGGCGGCUUCUUAAGUCGGAUGUGAAAUCCCUGAGCUUAACUUAGGAAUUGCAUUCGAUACUGGGAAGCUAGAGUAUGGGAGAGGAUGGUAGAAUUCCAGGUGUAGCGGUGAAAUGCGUAGAGAUCUGGAGGAAUACCGAUGGCGAAGGCAGCCAUCUGGCCUAAUACUGACGCUGAGGUACGAAAGCAUGGGGAGCAAACAGGAUUAGAUACCCCCGUAGUCCCUGUCUCUUAUAC
rnacentral:rRNA from 1 species